CCUACGGGAGGCAGCAGUUAUUAAUAUUUUUCCCUUUCCUGCCGGCUGCCCCCGCCAUGCCGCGUGAAGGUCAGUGCCCUAUGGGCGUUAAACUUCUUUUGUGCGGGAGCAAUAAUGGUCACGUGUGGCCAGACGAGAGUACCGUACGAAUAAGCAUCGGCUAACUCCGUGCCAGCAGCCGCGGUAAUACGGGGGAUGCAAGCGUUAUCCGGAUUUAUUGGGUUUAAAGGGUGCGUAGGCUGUGAGGUAAGUCAGCGGUGAAAUGCCCCCGCUCAACGGGGUGAAGUGCCAUUGAUACUGCCUUGCUGGAAUGCGGAUGCCGUGGGAGGAAUGUGUGGUGUAGCGGUGAAAUGCAUAGAUAUCACACAGAACACCGAUUGCGAAGGCAUCUCACGAAUCCGCGAUUGACGCUGAUGCACGAAAGCGUGGGUAUCAAACAGGAUUAGGUACCCCUGUAGUC
rnacentral:rRNA from 1 species